UACAGGGGGGGCAAGCGUUGUUCGGAAUUACUGGGCGUAAAGGGCGCGUAGGCGGCCAUCUAAGUCAGACGUGAAAUCCCUCAGCUUAACUGGGGAACUGCGUCUGAUACUGGGGAGCUUGAGUGCAGGAGAGGAACGCGGAAUUCCAGGUGUAGCGGUGAAAUGCGUAGAUAUCUGGAGGAACACCGGUGGCGAAGGCGGCGUUCUGGACUGCAACUGACACUGAUGAACGAAAGCCAGGGGAGCAAACGGG
rnacentral:rRNA from 1 species